AGUGAACGCUGGCGGUAGGCCUAAUACAUGCAAGUCGAACGGCAGCACAGUAAGAGCUUGCUCUUACGGGUGGCGAGUGGCGGACGGGUGAGGAAUACAUCGGAAUCUACUUUUUCGUGGGGGAUAACGUAGGGAAACUUACGCUAAUACCGCAUACGACCUACGGGUGAAAGCAGGGGAUCUUCGGACCUUGCGCGAUUGAAUGAGCCGAUGUCGGAUUAGCUAGUUGGCGGGGUAAAGGCCCACCAAGGCGACGAUCCGUAGCUGGUCUGAGAGGAUGAUCAGCCACACUGGAACUGAGACACGGUCCAGACUCCUACGGGAGGCAGCAGUGGGGAAUAUUGGACAAUGGGCGCAAGCCUGAUCCAGCCAUACCGCGUGGGUGAAGAAGGCCUUCGGGUUGUAAAGCCCUUUUGUUGGGAAAGAAAAGCAGCAGGAUAAUACCCCGCUGUUCUGACGGUACCCAAAGAAUAAGCACCGGCUAACUUCGUG
rnacentral:rRNA from 1 species